AAGUCGUAACAAGGUUUCCGUAGGUGAACCUGCGGAAGGAUCAUUAAUGAAUUGUCAUCGGUCCGGUUGUCGCUGGCCCUCCGGGGCAUGUGCACACUGGUCCGAACACGAUCUUAAACCUGUGCACCCAUGGCGGAGAGGGGUGUUUCUGGAGCUCUUCGGGGCUUUGGAACACCUUUUUCCUGCUCUUACACACUCUGCAUGUCUAGAAUGUCUUCUGCGUUUGACGCAAUUAAAUACAACUUUCAGCAACGGAUCUCUUGGCUCUC
rnacentral:misc_RNA from 1 species